GCCGCGCCUAGCCCGACAGGGCGAAUACUGGGAACCCUUGCCCGACUGGCGCGGCAACCAACUCAAGGG
rnacentral:sRNA from 22 species